GACAGAGGAGCCAAGCGUUGUCCGGAUUGACUGGGCGUAAAGCGCACGCAGGCGGUCGCGCACGUGGGGUGUGAAAACUGGCGGCUUAACUGCCAGAGGCCACCUCAUACGGCGCGACUCGAGCCCUGCAGAGGUCCAUGGAAUUGCCGGUGUAGUGGUGAAAUGCGUAGAGAUCGGCAGGAACACCCAGGGGGAAACCAGUGGACUGGGCAGGAGCUGACGCUCAGGUGCGAAAGCGUGGGGAGCGAACAGG
rnacentral:rRNA from 1 species